AGGCAGCCCCCUUGCGAAUAUUCAAAUGACAGGGGAGGUGUUUCCCUACUCAGAAAUUAGAUCUUCUGCUCUUCAGACUUGCUGAGAGCCUGAGAUGAUUUGUAAUACUUUCUGAAGCUGGUCUAGUAAGCUCAAGUAGAGU